UGUUGAAAAGCCCAGCAAGUAUUUACUCCGCUGUAACAGAGUCUUUUUCUAACUCCAGGAUCUUUUCUUUGUGUGCUCUGUAGAAUGAAGUGUGCUUGUUUUGGGAUGGAAAACAAACUGAAACUGGCUCAAGUGAAUGCUCACUGGAAGGCUUACUGGAAAACUUACUGGAAGGAUGUGAGGACAUGUUCGGGAAUCUAUUUGCAGAAAACAUAUUCAGCCCUGUCCACCACAGCCAGCUGGCUGAAGAGCUCAAAAGGCAAGAAAUCAGCAAGAGAGAGAGAUGAAGCAUGAGAAAUGAGCAAAAAACACCCAGCACAUCAUAAUCUUGGACAGUUUAGCAGUACAUGAAAAUAGAUGGUCCUCGCCCCAAGGGACUGCAGUAACCCUGAAUAAACAGGAUGUCUCUCACUUUUAGCAGUUCUUUCUGUGCUAGUAUUGGGGAAAUAUAUUUUUGGCUGCAUGCAAAAUGGUAAAAGACAUCUAUUAAGAAAAUGAAAACAAUGCUUCUGUUUUAGACGAAGCUUUUGAAGGUUUAAGGAUCACCUAUUUAUUGACAAAAUUGUUUCCGUGGCUUAAAAAUAAAAUACAAACAAAUACUACAGGUAUUCUUGCCUUCUCAUUCUACUUAAAAUCACAUUUCCAAAGACUUUCUUCUCUACUUAAAAACAGGAAUUAAGAAAUACUCAAAAGAGAUCCUAGACAAAACUAACAUUUCAGCAACCAAAGAUAAAUCAUGCUUUUAGAGGAAGAUGCUAGGUUCUAGAAUCUCUCUGAACACCGUGUAGCACUAAGAAACUACAAUCACUGGCUGAGACCUUGAUCAAAUAAUGGCUAACAUAUAAGAUGCUUAUUCUAGUCAGGCACACUUCUAAGAGCUGUAUAUCUGCUAAUUCAUUUAUUCUCCUAGGAUAUAAAGGAUCAGCAGAUCCUUCAGGCUCUGGUAUGUUCUGAGAUGAGUUAACCCAGAAAUUGUCAUCAAAAGACAGAUUCAGCAAAACGGAAA
rnacentral:lncRNA from 10 species